UUCCCCAGGGCAUGGAGGCCGGACCCUGGAGAGUUUCUGCACUCCCUUCGGGACCCCCACAGUUGCCCGCUGUGGUCCCUGGACCAUCGCUGGAGGCAGCCCGAGCUCACAUGCUGGCUUUGGGGCCACAGCAGCUGCUGGCCCAGGAUGAGGAGGGGGACACGCUCCUUCACCUGUUCGCGGCUCGGGGGCUGCGCUGGGCGGCAUAUGCUGCGGCUGAGGUGCUCCAGGUGUACCGGCAUCUUGACAUUCGUGAGCAUAAGGGCAAGACCCCGCUUCUGGUGGCAGCUGCUGCCAACCAGCCCCUGAUUGUGGAGGAUCUGUUGAACCUGGGAGCAGAGCCCAAUGCCGCUGACCAUCAGGGACGUUCGGUCUUGCACGUGGCCGCUACCUACGGGCUCCCAGGAGUUCUCUUGGUAUGGCCAGCUGGCAGGCAGGGGUUUGUUUGGGGGGUAGACUGGUUGCCCAGAUUUUGGCUUCCACGGCCAGGAGGCCAGGGGAUACCCUUACCCAGCAGUCUGCCUUCUCUUCCUCCCAGGCUGUGCUUAACUCCGGGGUCCAGGUUGACCUGGAAGCCAGAGACUUCGAGGGUAAGUUGGGUGUGGGCAGAGCUGGUGUGGUUGGUGUGGCUGGGCGAGGUGGGUGCAGAUGCGGGUCCCUCACUGUCUCCAUUCUGCAGGCCUCACCCCGCUCCACACGGCCAUCCUGGCCCUUAACGUUGCUAUGCGCCCUUCCGACCUCUGUCCCCGGGUGCUGAGCACGCAGGCCCGAGACAGGCUGGAUUGUGUCCACAUGUUGCUGCAAAUGGGUGCUAAUCACACCAGCCAGG
rnacentral:sRNA from 1 species